GGAGAGAUGGCCGAGUGGCUGAAGGCACUCGCCUGCUAAGCGAGUGGGUGGCUAAUACCGCCUCCCGGGUCCAAAUCCCGGUCUCUCCGCCA
rnacentral:tRNA from 5 species